UUUAUUUGGCUACGUGCCUGUUACUGGGUAUAGCCUAUAUUUUUAGUUUAUUCCCAAAUGCCCACAAUAUUAGAAUUACCACUUCUUGUGUGUGCAUCCACAGCAUAUCUUAUCUGUUAUUAUGCUGAGAGUGGGGUAGAUUAAAGCAAAGCAAAAUUCUAGACUGAAAACAGUGUCAAUUGAGUGCUUGAGCCAUGUUUUUUCGUUCUCUUAUGGUAGAGAAGUUUAGGAUGAGCAUUAUUUCUCAGAAGAGUUAUUUCUUUAUCUAGGAGAAGAAAUACCACUUGCAGGAGAGGGUUGACAAAGUAAAGAAGAAAGUGAAAGAUGUGGAGGAAAAGUCAAAAGAAUUUGUUCAGAAGGUGGAGGAAAAAAGCAUUGACCUCAUUCAGAAGUGGGAGGAGAAGUCCCGAGAAUUCAUUGGAAGUUUUCUGGAAAUGUUUGGUCCGGAAGGAGCACUGAAACAUAUGCUGAAAGAGGGGAAGGGCCGGAUGCUGCAGGCCAUCAGCCCGAAGCAGAGCCCCAGCAGCAGCCCUACUCGCGAGCGCUCCCCCUCCCCCUCUUU
rnacentral:lncRNA from 1 species